ACAAUUAUGAUUGUUAGAUGGGGACAACUAAUGCCUGUGCCUGAUUCAUCUUGAUAGUAGAUCUGAUUUA